GUUCUUCUAGUAUUAAGCAGUACAGAUGACUUCCAAUCACCAGGCCUUGGCAGCGCCCCAAGGAAGAACA
rnacentral:tRNA from 1 species